UUAUUUUAGAUUUUUUCAAAUAUGGACAAAAUCAAUCAUUAAAGGACAAAAUUUUAAACGGUUUUUGAACAAAAAAAGAAAUUAAUUGGAGUCUCCAAUUGUAGAGCAGCAUAUUCACUAUUUCCGUUCUUCAAAUAUUGAAUUGGCAAGGAUCGAUCCACAUAAUCAUAAAAUUCAUUUAAACGCAAACUGUCCAGAACGUGCUGAUGUUGACCGGAUACUAAAACGAAAUCUUCUUCACAAAACCAUCAUAAACUGCCUGGUUUCCAAUACAAACAGUCCAAAAAUAUAUUUUUUAAAAAUAACUCCACUAACAAUAA